rnacentral:rRNA from 1 species
GACAGAGGGUGCUAGCGUUGUUCGGAAUUACUGGGCGUAAAGGGCGCGUAGGCGACUUGUUUAGUCGGGUGUGAAAUCCCGGGGCUCAACCCCGGAACUGCAUUCGAUACUGGCAGGCUAGAGACCGGAAGAGGUGGGUGGAAUACCCAGUGUAGAGGUGAAAUUCGUAGAUAUUGGGUGGAACACCGGUGGCGAAGGCGGCUCACUGGUCCGGUUCUGACGCUGAGGCACGAAAGCGUGGGGAGCAAACAGG